CACGUGAAGAAACACUUUAUCUUUUUUUAUUCUCCCUUCUUCUUCUUCCCGAGCCCGACAAAGACAAGAAACAUACAGAGACUUCUCUCUCUCUCUCCUUUGACUCUCUUCCCCUCUUUCCUUUGACCAGCCGUUUGGCCGUGUUUCAGUGGCCGGAAAGCGACACGCGCCGGUGGCUUGAGAGCCCACGGCCAGGCGACACAGGUGACAAAAAUAUCCGGCCAUUUGGUCAGCGGGCACGCCGAGAUCGGCCAUCGAAAGCUGGCGACCGGAGGUCCUCCGGUUGACCCAUUUUCCGGCCGUUUUUGAUCGUGAGACCGCUCUUCCCCAUAGUUUUGGAUCCCCUGGUUCCAAAAAAGACCUCCAUUAGCAGUUUGUGAGAUACAUGGAGUGGAGUGUUUGGCCGGAACUUUCCGUUCAUUUUCCGGUCAAUUCCGGCGGCUUUGAGCUCAAUGGAUCAAUGGAGAUGCAUCGGGACGAUAUGGUUUCUUUCUGGAGGCGGCUGAAUUCUCAGCCCAAUACUCUGGCAACUUCAGAAAUUAUCUAGAACUGCCUAUAAUUCUUAUCCAUAUCUCCCUACACAACGUGCAGGAAGCUUCUUUUUAUUCAUUUUAUUAUUCUUAUCCCUUUGCCGUAGGAUCCCUAUGAAGAUAUAUAGGAAUAAACACUGAAGAUUGAGACGUCCAUUCCUACAUCGCGGCGCAGAAUACCUUUCUCUAUUUUCAAGGCUUUAAAUAUCGUUUUAAAUAUCAGACAAUUCGUACUUUUUCUUCUACCAAACAGGUAAGAUUAAUUCAAACCCAGUCAACAUAUUUCGUGAUUGCUUAGGUAAAUCAUUUUAAACUCGUUUCUUUUCUUUGCAAAUUAAUUUGUAGAAGUUAAUAUAUUUUGUUUACAACAUGCUAUUCAUAGUAUUUAAAUUAUAUUAAUUUAUAAACUACAUUUACAAAUUAUAAGGUAAUUUCUUAAGGAAAAGUUUUAUUUUCUUUUACUUGAACUUAUUUGUUAAGAAAAGUAUUUUGUCAGAAUUUUCAUGUCUAUAUUGGUGAAUUUUGUUUAUCCACAAUUUGUCGAGUCUUUUUUAGUUUCAGGCUAUGAAGAAUCUGUGUUUGAGCCACUGCAGACACCAAAACACAUACUUCCCGGGAAAACUUUUCCCUUCGCCUCGUCUCUUUUUCUUCUUUUUCCUUUCCUUUCUUAUCAUAGCAUUAGAAUGCCCUGUUUUUGUGGUUUCAUUAUGAAUUUCUCUAACCAAUAUAAGCCUUAAUUUUACAUACAUUAGAAGAACAAACUAAAUAAAAUAAACAGUACAUUAUCUAUGAAUAUGAUUAUGAGUUGUUAUGACCCAUUUGAUGGGUAAAUAUCUUUACAUCCACUUGAACAUUCUUAACUAAAUUCUAUGAGUAUAAUAUAACAUAUGUACUUUUUAUUUUUUGGCAAAUAACAUAAUAUGUGCAUUUGAAAGUGUUAGCUCUUAACUUUAUGUGCAUUUUUACCAUAAAAGCCAAACCAAAGAAAGUACGUUUAAAUUUGCAGGAAACAACCGAAAAAUUUGUACGUGUAAAUUUGCAGGAAACAACCGAGAAAUUUCUCGGUUUACCAUGUCAGUCAGUCUUUUACAUGUUAAAUGGAAAAAAGUAGAAGAAGAAACAAAAUGAUGCUAUAACCUUCCGAACACCCCAAAUUGAUAACCCCAUGGUAAAUAAAUAUUAAAUACAAGCCAACUUCGAAAUGACUUAAUUAACCAAAGUUUGAAAAAAUCUUAUGAAAUGAUUAGGUGAGAGGAAAGUAAAAGUGAGUUAAAAAAAAUAAUAAUAAUAAGGGGAUUAAAUGAGUCACCAGGCCUUUUUUUUUCUUUUUUUUCUUUUUUCUUUCAUAAAAUAUGGAACAAUAGGUUCAUUAAAGAAACAAAAUAUAUACUUAAUUUUGUUAAUUAGAAAAUAUUGUUAAAAAUACAUUAAUGGAUUUGUUUUUUCGAGGUGUCCAGUUUGCGGGAAAUUAUUUGGAAACACGUGAUGAAAGAUUCGCUACGGUGUGCUGAUCUUUUCAGUUUACUAUAAUCAUAACCGCUUGACAGAGACAACACUGCGCGUAGAGUAGGUGGUACAGAGAGCGUUAUAUUGUAAAAUGGUUUCUACUUCUUCUUUUUCUUCGGCAAACCCCCCCCACAAACAAUUCGAUGUGUUUUUGAGUUUCAGAGGUGAGGACACCCGCCAUGGAUUUGCUAGCUAUCUUUAUGGUGCUUUAUCUGCAAAGAGUAUCUCAACUUUCAUGGAUGAUCAUGAACUUGAGAGAGGCGAUGAAAUUUCUCCCACACUUGACAAAGCGAUCAAGAAAUCCAAGAUUUUAGUAGUCGUUCUUUCAGAAAACUAUGCUUCCUCCACAUGGUGUUUGGAGGAACUGGUGAAAAUACUUGAAUGCAAGAGAAACAAUGGACAGACUGUUAUGCCAGUCUUUUAUGGCAUAGAUCCAUCGGUUGUACGAAAGCAGAAUGGGAGUUAUGGAAUUGCAUUUAAUAAACUUGAAGAACGUUUCAGAGACAGAAUAGACAAGGUGCACCAAUGGAGGGCUGCUUUAACAGAAGUUUCUAAUCUACGUGGGUGGGAUUCAAAGAAUUACUGGCCUGAGUGUAAGUUAGUUCAAAAAGUUGUUGAAGAUAUUUUAAAAGAAUUGCCUAAAUAUCGAUCAUCAUUUGAGCAUUCAAAGGAGUUGCUUUUUGGAAUUGAAAAAAAUAUUAAGGAAGUUGAAUCACGAUUAUCCAUUGGCCCAAAAGAUGUUCGCAUUAUAGGUAUUUGGGGAAUGGGGGGAAUCGGUAAAACCACCCUUGCUACCAUUGUAUUUGAAAAACUAUCUGAUGAGUUCGAAGGUUGCUGCUUUCUUCCGAAUGUCAGAGAACAACAUGCAAGAAAUGGAUUAGAUCAUUUGAGAAGGAAACUUCUAUCUAAUUUACUAGAUGAUGAAGAUAUUUUAACGAUGGAUACCCUAGUUGGAGCGUCAUCUUUUAUUCUUGACAGGCUUCGACGUAAAAAGGUGCUCAUUGUUCUAGAUGAUGUGGAUAGUUCUAUCCUAUUAGAUGCUUUAGUUCGAGAAAAUCACCAACUUGCUCCUGGAAGCAGAAUCAUUGUUACAUCUAGAAAUAGGCAAGUGCUUAAGGGAGUAUCCGAUGAUAUUUACAAGGUUCAGAGGUUAAAUUCCUUUGAAUCUUUUCACCUCUUCUGUUUGCAUGCUUUUAAGUCUGAUCCUCCGGCAAUUGAUGAUCAAAAAAUGAUAUCAGAAGUGAUAAGUUAUGCGUAUGGAAAUCCAUUAGCUCUUAAGGUAUUGGGCUUUUCCCUUCACUCCAGAAAUAAAGAAGCAUGGGAAAGUGCACUGAAGAAGCUGAAAAGAUUUUCAAACCCAGAUAUUCAAGAUGUGUUGAGAAUCAGUUAUGAGCAACUAGAUGAUAAAGGGAUGAAGGAUACAUUUCUAGACAUUGCUUGCAUCUUUGAUUCAUCUUUUGCUAGAGAUUAUGCAGAAAGCAUAUUAGUUGAUAAUCCUUAUGUGAAAAUAGAUAUUACUGGUCUACUUGAUAAGUCUUUAAUUGAAAAUAGUGAAGUUCUUAAGGACAAUGAACUAUUGAUGAAUGAUUUGAUACGUCAAAUGGGUCGGCAAAUUGCUCGUGAUGAAGAUGAACAACCUGGUAAUCGUUGUAGGUUGUGUGAUGCCAAGGAUGCUUGCUACGUACUGGAAAAUAAAACGGGCACUGCUGCAAUUGAAGUUAUAUCAUUCAACAUGUCAGAAAUCACACAAAAUGUAAGAGUGUGCCGUUCAGCCUUCUCAAAUAUGUGCAACCUACGAAUUCUCAAAGUUUAUUGUGACAAUAUUGGUGGCUAUGGGUUUAAGCUGUCCAUUCCUAAUGGUCUUGAUUCUUAUCUUUCUGAUAAGCUAAGAUAUUUAUGGUGGGAUUUAUAUCCUUUGAAAUCAUUGCCAUCAAAAUUUAAUCCAGAGAAUCUUGUUGAACUUGCACUUCGUGGCAGCCAUCUUGAAAACCUUUGGAAUUAUAAAGUUCAGUCUCUCCCAAUGUUAAGAAGGAUUGAUCUGAGUUAUUCCAAGUUUCUCACUCGACUACCAGAUUUGUCACGGAUUCCGAAUCUGGAAAGAUUAAAUCUUGAAGGCUGUACAAGCUUGGUUGAGCUUCUUUCACCAAUUCAAAAUCUUGACAAGCUUGCUUAUCUAAAUUUGAAUGGUUGCACCAAACUUAAAAAUAUGAAAGGUACAUCAAGGAGCACAGGGUACUUGGAUUUUAUUCUGCAUGGAGGCAUUAAAAAUCUUUUGAAAAACAUUUGUCAGCCGAGUCUCACAUCUCAGGCCCACAUUCCUCAAAAGUUCCAAGUGAAUUUAACAUGUUUAAUUUUGAGUGGGACAGCAAUAGAAGAAGUGGACCCAUCAAUUGGGUAUCUCCCAGGUCUUGUUCAAUUAGAUAUGAGUUAUUGCACCAGACUUAAAAGUCUUCCAACCAGCAUUUGUAAUUUGAAAUCUCUUGAGAUGUUAAGCCUCGCCUUCUGUUCGAAACUUGAAAAAUUGCCUCCCCUUCCAUCUACUCUGCUCCACUUGGGGCUAUACUGUUGUGAAAGCUUGAAAUCUUUAUCAGAGCUCCCAUCAUUAUGCUUUAGUCUGUCUGCAAAUUACUGCAAGACACUGGAGAAAAUAUCGACUUGGAGGGCUCCACUAUUACACAAUAUGAAAAUCAUUAACUUUAAUUUUUUCUGUGGACAUAUUGACUUUUAUGGUUGUGAAAAAUUGGAUCAGAAUACACGCAACAGCAUACUCGUCGAUCGUGCCGUACUUAAAAUUCUGUUCCGUAUGAAGUUUGGAAUGACUGGCCCAAAUUCUCAUGAUUUUCGAUAUCCAGGAGAUGAAAUUCCAAAGUGGUUUAACUAUCAAACUUGUGGGACUUCAAUCAAAAUUAUGCUUUGCCCAAAUUGGAAUAAUGCCAACUUCUUGGGUUUGGCUUUCUGCAUUGUUCUUGAUCAAAAUAAAACUGACCCCAAUAUAUCUCUUUGUAUCAAUUGCAAACUCAAUUUCAAAACCAUGGAUGAUGAUCAUCUGCAUGAAUAUCAUGAUUCUAGGGCUCUUCUGGAAAGGAAGGUUAGUUCAGAUCACCUGCUCAUGUGGUACGUUGCAAAGCUCGCUUUGCAAAGAUCAGAAAAAAUGGUUGGACUAAAUUGGCCAUCUACUUGUAGAACUGAGGCUUCUUUCCAUGUCUUGCCUUGCUACUAUGAUUGCAUAGAAUUGAGAUAUGUCAAAAACUUGGGAAGUGAGUAUGGCCAGAUUAAGAAGUUUGGUAUUCGCUUUGUAUAUAUGGCAGAUACAGCGAGGUUUGAUGCAGAAACUAAAAGUGGAAAUAUAAGACACUAUGAUGAAUAUUGUGAAUCAAGUGGAAGUGAAGCUAAAAGAAAAAAUGAGAGCUACUUUGAUGAAUAUUGUGGCUUUCAUGGUGAAGAAGAUGUUGAAUGGCAUCCGACCAUUAAAUCUAAGAGACUGAAGGUUAUCCUACCAUUAUCUAAGAGACGGAAGGUUUAAGUAUGUCACUGUUUGCAAGUUGCAGAACAAUUGGAUGCUCACAAACCAAAGAAUACAACAAUUCCAAGAUGCAGCUAAGGGAGAUGCUUUAGCGAUGAAUAUGAUCAUGAAACCAGUUAAUCUAAAGUUGUUAGCUCUGAUGAACGAGGAAGAAAAUCCCAAUGCUAAUUCAAAGACAACGAAGCAUAUUCUGUGAUUGCUUUAGGAAGGUACUGUGUGACCUAUGCAGACAAUCUUUAGCUUCAGAUGAAUGGUCUUGUAUCUUGGAAAGGUUCUCUGUUCCUCUUCCGAAGAGUCAUCUGUCAGUCGCACAAAAGACCUUUUCUUUGUAAAAUAUGGUGGGGGACACUUUAUAUCUUGACUUAUUUCACUUUGACUGGUUUUUUUAAUGGUUGUGAAAGCAUGGAAUGUUUUUGGUUUUUGAAGCAAAUGGAUUCUAAUAUUUGGUAAGCAAGUUUUGUGGCUUCAUUUUCAAGUUUUUCUUAUGUGCCAAAUAAAAAGUUAAAGUAUUUUUUUCCAUAGCAAUGCCAAGGUGCGGUGCUUAUGGUCAUUUCUGGGGAAGUUAAGCUGUAUUUGUUCUACAACUUUUGUUACUAAUAGUACCAAAUAAGCAGAAGUAGGAAAAACUAUAAUCUUAUCUGUGAUUCAUGUCUGUAUAUUACCUGAUUUAGUAAUAGAUUGCUAUGUUGCAUUU